rnacentral:rRNA from 1 species
GGGGCAACCUGAUCAGCCAUGCCGCGCUGGUGUGAAGAAGGCCUUCGGGUUGUAAAGCACUUUCAGUGAGGAGGAAAGGGUGUGGGUUAAUACCCCUGAUCCUUGACGUUACUCACAGAAGAAGCACCGGCUAACUCCGUGCCAGCAGCCGCGGUAAUACGAA